ensembl:lncRNA
AUGAGAUUUUUUAUCCUCCUCGUAGUUUCAGUCGCUGUGUGUGAUGCUGAGGUGAAGUUGGAGGCAACUGACGGAGAAAAUGUCAUCAUAUCCUUCAAAACUGCUGAACUGGAGAGAGCCGAGCGAGUGCGGAUAACUUUUACAGGAGAAAAUCAGAAAACCUUGAUUGCGCAAUUCUGUCGCUGUGUCCAUUGUGGGGACUGUGAUGUCGUGGAAACACCGGGAGUCUUACUGCGAGUUGAAGAAGGAACCUUAAUUCUUCUAAAUGUCAGCUCCGAAAGCUCAGGCCUCUAUGAAGCACAAGUCUUCAAUGGAAACAAUGUGUCUGAGAUAAAAGCUACACUUGUUGUGAAAAAACCUGCAUUUUCCUCCACUAAAGCACCACACCAGAUCUCCACCCCAAAUCCUCCCAACUCCUCUGGACACCUGUGGCUGUGCGCUUUACUGAUUCCUCUAGUCAUCUUGGGGGUGGUUUGUUUCUUCUGAAAGAAGAAAUGCAGGAGGGAACGUGAGCCAUUACCUGAUGUUGAAGAAGCCAGAGGAACCCCUGCUGUCUCCAGGUAUGAAGCUCCUCUCCGAUCUGUGGAUUUCCUCGGGUCUUUUUAUGCAUCGCAUGACUUUUUCAUAAAGGAUAUUUGCCAUGUUGGGCCUCACUGAAGUCAGUUUUCUGUUCUUUACAGACACAGCAUCUUCAAAAAAAAUAAGUGUAAAAGAAAUGGCAGUGACUGUGUAGCUGUCUCCUUUAAGGCUUGUAGAGAAGACACUGAAGAUCAGCUCGUGGAUACCUGACUUGAUGCUGAGUGUCCUGACUGCAAGCGACGUCUCACACUGCCUCUUGAACUGAGGCGUCAAAACCACAUUUAGUUUUUUGAUUUUAUGGGAAAAUAGACAAUCUGAAAGCUGAGACUUUUUCUUAUCAGAAGUAACAAAGCACUUUGCGAUUACUGGAUGGGAGGUACAUUAGAAAUAAUGUUAAAUGAAGGGAAAAUCCAAACACUUUAGCCUUAAUCAGACUCUUGGUCUAGAUCUGGUUUUUGUGGAUGUCUGAUUGGAAUCUGAUCAUAUUUAGUAAAACUGUGAACACCAGACACAACCGUUGUCACAUGUUAACAUCUAGAAGCAGUCUACUCUAGACAACUCAACAUCAUCGCCAUAGAAACCAAUGCAGAUAUUCCAGAAAAUGAAAGACAAUCCAUCAUUUAGAUACGAUUUCAAUCAGAUACACAAAUACUCUGAUUUGGACUGAGAGAUAAUCAGGACUGCUGAGAGGAUCAUUGGUGCCCAACCUCCAAGAUCUUUACACUUCCAGAGUGAGGAAAAGAGCUGGUAAAAUCACUCUGGACCCAGCACACUCUCUCUUUCAACUGUUGCCUUCUGGCCGGCACUGCAGAGCACACUGCCCCAAAGCAAGAACACACACAUUAUUAGUGUUUUUAUUACCUUAAAUUAGAUGCAUGUCUGUGCUGGAAGCUCCUGACACCAAGACAAAUUCCUUGUGUGUGUAAACACUUGCCAAUAAAGCUCUUUCUGAUUCUGAGAGUGAGAAUGUAGUCUUUGAGGCCAAACUAUCAGAUGCUCUUAUUUAUUCUUCAUCACAAGAAUGCAUAAUGUUAUCAGGUAUUAACCACAAUUGUCUUUCUUGUCAGAGUGCUGAAACACCGAGGCAGACUAGCUUUAGAUUUUCACAAGUGCUUUCCAGUUUUGUGUGCAAUAUAAAUCAGAUGUCAUAUAAAAGUUAUAUAAUAUAUCAAAUUGAUUCACUCAAAAACAAAGAUUUAAAGGGGAAAGUAAGAUUUCUCUGUACUUCUUUGUGUGCACAUAUUUUUAUAAAUGUAUUGUCAUUUUUUAGUAUCUUGUUGAUUUGUUGUCAAAGUCUAUCUCUAUUAUAAUGAUAUAUUUUAGUGCCACAUAUCUCCCACAACUUUGAUCAACUGUAGAACGGUGAUGGUUCAUUCUGAUGUGAACAGCAAGUUUUAUUAAACACGUUAACUGUUUACAUUGCUUGUUGCAUAUUUUAAGAAUAGAAGAGAACAAAAUGCAUUACACUGACUAGCAACUACUGAACCAGUUUCAUUAGGUUAACUCGUCUCUGAGUUCUGGCCAAAGAAUGGAUCCAGCAUCAAGGUUAAUCUGUCUCUGUCGAGGCAGUCGGUCCCUUGAGGUCCACGUAUACAACAGAGACUUUUUGGACAUUCCCUAUAUCUCACUGAUUUCCUGGACUUUUCUCUCGUUGAUCUUUACUGCUGUGGAGUAAACAAGCAUCUCCAAUCACUGCUUAUCCAUGAUGCUCCUCAAGGGUCGCUGUGUGAGUUCCUGGACACAAUCAGGGAGUAAUGAAUGGAGCCAAAAGAGACGGGG